rnacentral:rRNA from 1 species
GACGAACGCUGGCGGCGUGCUUAACACAUGCAAGUCGAACGGAAAGGCCCUGCUUUUGUGGGGUGCUCGAGUGGCGAACGGGUGUGUAACACGUGAGUAACCUGCCCUUGACUUUGGGAUAACUUCAGGAAACAGGGGCUAAUACCGGAUAGGAGCUCCUGCUGCAUGGUGGGCGUUGGAAAGUGUCGGCGGUUGUGGAUGGACUCGCGGCUUAUCAGCUUGUUGGUGGGGUAGUGGCUUACCAAGCCUAUGACGGGUAGCCGGCCUGAGAGGGUGACCGGCGACAUUGGGACUAAGAUACGGCCCAGACUGCUACGGGACGCAGCAGUGGGGAAUAUUGCGCAAUGGGCGGACGCCUGAUGCAGCAACGCCGGGUGCGGGAUGACGGCUUUCGGGUUGUAAACAGCUUUCGACUGUGACGAAGCGUGAGUGACGGUAAUGGGUAAGAAAGCACCGGCUAACUACGUG